UCCUGGCAGGGAUUACAUGGUGAGCAAGGAGGACAGCUGAGCUGGCCAGUGGGCAGCCCCGCCAUGCCAAGAGGAAAGCUGGAGAGGAAGGACAGCUGAGGCUCUGCAGCAGUGAGAAGGCAUCUGUCUAGUGAUCUGCUGAUCUGCCUCACCCCAACCAAGCCCUUCACCCUGGGAUGUUACUAGAGCUCUUGGUUACUUGAGCCACCUACCUAAACAUUUGUGAAUACUUCAGCCAUGGGACAGCGACUGUCAAUCAAUAGUCCUCAGAGACUCAUCAGAACAGUCAGGGGACAGUUUGGUGGUACCAAGCAAUGAGCACGGGGUGGACCUAGAAAGUGCCAGGAAUGAUGUACCCGCAGAAAACUGUGCACAUCCUGGGUGCCAGAGGGGCCUGUAUCUGGGGCACAUGGAGCCCUGGCUGAAGCAUUAGCAGUGAGAGGCAAAGCUGACCUCUCCUCUCUGGGGUUCUGCUCUACCUCCAUCCCCAUCCCCAAGAGGAGAUCCUGGAUCAGAAAAGCGAAGCUGGACAUUAAACUGGCUGUGUGAAUGCCCACAGAUCUGGACUGAG
rnacentral:lncRNA from 1 species